rnacentral:rRNA from 1 species
AACGUAGGACACAAGCGUUAUCCGGAGUUACUGGGCGUAAAGGGCGUGUAGGCGGAGAUGUAAGUCUAUUCUGAAAGCUCCUGGCUAAACUGGGAGAGGCGAAUGGAGACUGCAUAUCUAGAGUGAGGAAGAGGAAAGUGGAAUUCCUGGUGUAGCGGUGAAAUGCGCAGAUAUCAGGAAGAACACCCGUGGCGAAAGCGGCUCUCUGGAACGGUACUGACGCUGAGACGCGAAAGCGUGGGGAGCGAACAGG